rnacentral:circRNA from 1 species
AGUUAAACAUGAAGUUUCUGGAGAGACAGUGGUAUUUCAAGGGGGAGCUCUUGGCAAAACACCAGAUGGUCAGGGCCUUUCUACUUACAAGGAACUUUGUUCUCUGGCAAGUGAUCUUAGCCAGCCAGAUCUGGUGUAUAAAUUUAUGAAUUUAGCCAACCAUCAUGCAAUGUGGAACUCUAGGAAGGGUGCUGCUUUUGGUUUUAAUGUAAUUGCUACCAGAGCUGGAGAGCAGCUGGCUCCUUUUCUGCCUCAGCUAGUUCCUCGACUUUAUCGUUACCAGUUUGAUCCCAACCUUGGCAUUCGACAGGCCAUGACAAGUAUUUGGAAUGCGUUGGUCACUGACAAAUCCAUGGUGGAUAAAUAUUUGAAAGAAAUUCUUCAAGAUUUGGUUAAGAACCUUACAAGCAAUAUGUGGCGAGUUCGAGAAUCCAG